CCGCCUUGUGGUGGGGCACAGGAAACGUGGUGUACAGAAGCCCCCAUCCCCGGCGCCACUCUCAGGGGGCCAAAGUCCUUCUGAUUGAGGACCAGCCCGCGGAUGGUGAGAAGCCGGUAGUGGCACGCCAGGACUGGGGCUUCUCGGAGUCGGGUUGCUUGGGAAUGCAGCCCAAAGCAGGUGGUAAACUCCAUCUAAGGCUAAAUACCGGCACGAGACCGAUAGUCAACAAGUACCAUAAGAGAAAGUUGAAAAGGACUUUGAAGAGAGAGUUCAAGAGAGCGUGAAACCGUUAAGAGGUAAACGGGUGGGGUCACUCGUCCUGCCGGAGGAUUCAACCCGGCGGGCUCGGUCGGCCAGCUCAGGUGUUGGCGGAUCUCCGCCUCCACCUCACCUCCCACCCCUYGUGGGGGCGGGCUGGGGACCGCUGCCCAGCCAGCCCCUGGUCCCCAUCAGGCACUGGUGGUGGUCCCCCGUGGCGGUGCACCGCGACCAGCUCCGGGUCGGCUGGGAAGGCCCGGUGGGCAGGUGGCUCGCUGCUGUACGGCGGUGAGUGUUAUAGCCCCUGAGCAGCAGCUCUCGCCGAAUCCCAGGGCCGAGGGAGAGGACCGCCACCACGCCUUCCCCCGUGGCAGCUUCCCAGAUGCUGUUGUUGGCAGCGCUACUGCUUUUCUCCCCACUCCUGCUCGCGGCUGAGCUGGGAUCCCAAGGCGGAGGCAGAGCCGAGGGCACACCACCGGCCCGUCUCGCCCGCUCCGUCGGGGAGGUGGAGCAUGAGCGUCCGUGCUAGGACCCGAAAGAUGGUGAACUAUGCCUGGGCAGGGCGAAGCCAGAGGAAACUCUGGUGGAGGUCCGUAGUGGUCCUGAUGUGCAAAUCGGUCACCCGACCCGGGUAUAGGGGCGAAAGACUAAUCGAACCAUCUAGUAGCUGGUUCCYUCCGAAGUUUCCCUCAGGAUAGCUGGCACUCGCGGGCGGCAGUUUUACCCAGUAAAGUGAAGGAUUAGAGGUCUUGGGGCCGAAAUGAUCUCAAGCUCUUCUCAAACUUCCAAUGGGUAAGACGCCCGGCUCGCUGGCGUGGAGCCGGGCCGUGGAAUGCGAGUGUUUAGUGGGCCACUUUUGGGAAGCAGAACUGGUGCUGCAGGUUGAAUCCAAGGCACCUGAUGCUGACGCUCAUCAGACCCCAGAAAAGGUGUUGGUUGAUAUAGACAGCAGGACGGUGGCCAUGGAAGUCGGAACCCACUAAGGAGUGUGUAACAACUCACCUGCCRAAUCAACUAGCCCUGAAAGUGGAUGGCGCUGGAGCAUCGAGCCCAUACCCCGCCAUCACCGGUGAUGCGAAGCCGCGUGGGCUACGCCACGGUGAGUAGGAGGGCUGCUGCGGUGCGCCCUGAAGCCUGGGGCAUGGGCCCRGGUGRAGCCGCCACAGGUGCAGAUCUUGGUAGUAGUAGCAAAUAUUCAAACGAGAGCUUUGAAGGCCCAAGUGGAGCAGGGUUCCAUGUGAACAGCAGUUGAACAUGGGUCAGUCGGUCCUAAGCGAUAGGCGAGCGCCGUUCCGAAGGGACGGGCGAUGGCCUCCAUUGCCCUCAGCCGAUCGAAAGGGAGUCGGGUUCAGGUGCCCGAAUCCGGAGUGGCGGAGAUGGGCGCCGUGAGGCGUCCAGUGCGGUAACACAACCGAUCCCGGAGAAGCCGGUGGGAGCCCCAGGGAGAGUUCUCUUUUCUUUGUGAAGGGCCGGGCGCCUUGUAAUGGGUUCGCCCCGAGAGAGGGGCCCGUACCUUGGAAAGCGUCAUGGUUCCGGCGGCGUCCGGUGAGCUCUCGCUGGCCCGUGAAAAUCUGGGGGAGAAGGUGUAAAUCUCGCACUGGGACGUACUCAUAUCCGCAGCAGGUCUCCAAGGUGAACAGCCUCUGGCAUGUUGGAACAAUGUAGGUAAGGGAAGUCGGCAAGCCGGAUCCGUAACUUCGGGAUAAGGAUUGGCUCUAAGGGCUGGGUCAGUCGGGCUGGGGCGCAAAGCAGGGCUGGACAUGUGCCGCAGCUGGAUGAGGCACCGUGCGACCCACCAGUCCCCCCCGCCCCCCGGGCGGGCAGGGGUGGGCACGGGGCAGUGGUGGCGACUCUGGACGCGCCCCGGGCCCUUCCCAUGGAUCGCCCCAGCUGCAGUGAGCGCCGCCCGUCCCCUCCCUCCCUCCUCCCCGAGCCACAGCAGCUGCCAUCACCCCUCCACACACCCGUCCGCGGGGGCUGGGGGUGCCCCAGUGCAUACACAGCUGCCGGCGACGGGGGGGAGCUGGUGUCCCCAGGCCGGCGCCCCGCCUCGGCCGACGCCUAGCAGCCGACUUAGAACUGGUGUGGACCAGGGGAAUCCGACCGUUUAAUUAAAGCAAAGCAUUGCAAAGGCCCAUGGUGGGUGUUGACGCGAUGUGAUUUCUGCCCAGUGCUCUGAAUGUCAAAGUGAAGACAUUCAAUGAAGCGCGGGUAAACGGCGGGAGUAACUAUGACUCUUUUAAGACGGGGCCAUAGUUACUAGCUGGGCUUAGCUGCAGAGGCUACACCUCCUCGUGGUCCCGCUGGAUGCCCAUUUCUGGGUAACUAAGUUUGCCUCUGCCCCAGUGUACGUGGAAUUAUAGUUACUUCCUCCCUAUCGACUGGCUUCACCGACCACUCGAUAGUAUUCAAGGUGAAACUAAAUUGAUCCAACCAUGAAUUUUUUCGGUAUUCGUGUGUGCAAAGCCCUUUGCCUAAGGGCUGACUGAAGGCACACCAGUUGAACUUGGGGGCUGGUUCUYCUGGUUAUAUCCCAACCCCCCACAGACACGAUUAACAACCUAGUAAAAUCAGGGG
rnacentral:rRNA from 1 species